ensembl:lncRNA
CAUAGGCCCCAUAGAACCCCAUAGGCCCCUAUAGAACCCCAUAGGCCCCUAUAGAGCCCCAUAGGCCCCUAUAGGCCGCAAUGGGCCUCACCUCGGCGAUGCGCUGCCGUAGCAGCUCCAUGUGCUCCCGUUGCCGCUCCCGUUUCUUCAUGAGCUGCAGCGCCCGCCCCGCUUCACUCGCCGCUCCCUUGUACUGCGCCAUCUUGGAUCCAGUACCGACACCGGAAACCGGAACCGGAAAUAACACACCCCCCUCUUAUAGCCUUAAGUGCGUCAUUUACGUGCGACGCGAUGGGAGUGGGAAGCGGAAGUGCGUCAUUAAAGUGAGACGCGACGAGGGGUCGGAAGCGGAAGUAGCUUCUGAAGCGGAAGUGCGUCAUUACUGAGACCCUUUCCCUAUAACGACAUCCCAUUGGAGGAGCUGUUGGUUUGGGCCCCGCCCACUUCCGGUGGCUUUAUCCAAUAGGAAGGAAGGAUUUGUCCCCGCCCCCUUUCCCGUGGCUUUAUCCAAUCAGAGUGAGUCCCUUUUUAUCCCCGCCCACUUCCGAUCUGAUUAUCCAAUCAGAGUGGCUCCUUUUGUCCCGCCCUUUUCCAGUGGCUUUAUCCAAUCAGAACGCAGCCUUUUAGCCCCGCCCCUCUUUUUGCCUUCAUCCAAUCGAAUCACAGCAUCCCAUUUAAGCCCCGCCCCUCCACCCAACGGGCUCCUCUGAUUGGACGAAUCGCCCUUUGGCUCCACCCACUUUUAGCCCCGCCUCCUCCCCCUUAAUGGCCUUCUCCGAUUGGUCGAUGUCCCGUCCCGUCCCCGUUAUUUGAUUGGAUCGUUUCCCUUUAGCCCCGCCCACUUGGGGCGGCUUUUAUUGGACACGGCACACAAUAAAUAGGGGGAGGGGCGAUAGGGGGCGCUAUAGGGCACACAUAGGGAUCUAUGGGGCACAUAUGGGGGUCUAUGGGGCACAUAUGGGGCACGUAUGGGGGUCUAUGGGGCAGAUAUGGGGCAGACCCAGCUGUCUAUGGGGCAGAUAUGGGGGUCUAUGGGGCGCUAUGGGGCACACAUAGGGAUCUAUGGGGCACAUAUGGAGUCUAUGGGGCACAUAUGGGGGUCUAUGGGGUAGAUAUGGGGCACAUAUGGGGCAGCUAUGGGGCACAUAUGGGGCACAUAUGGGGACAUAUGGGGGUCUAUGGGCACAUAUGGGAUCUAUGGGGCAGAUAUGGGGCACAUAUGGGGCACGUAUGGGGGUCUAUGGGGCAGAUAUGGGUGUCUGUGGGGCAGACCCAGCUGUGGGGCACACAUAGGGGUCUAUGGGGCGAUAUGGGGGCGAUAUGGGGCAGAUAUGGGGGUCUAUGGGGCAGAUAUGGGGCAGAACCCAGCUGUCUAUGGGGCAGACUGGCUAUGGGGCAGCUAUUGGGGCACGUAUGGGGCAGAUAUGGGGGUCUAUGGGGCGCUAUGGGGCAGACCCAGCAAGUCUAUGGGGCAGCCCUAUGGGUCUGGCUAUGGGGCAGCCCCACAGAUCCCUCUAUGGGGCAGCCCUAUUGGUCCCGCUAUGGGGCAGCCCCACAGAUCCCCAUCUCUAGGUCCCGCUAUGGGCAGCCCCACAUCUCCCCCCAUUACUUCCCCUAUGGGUACAUGCAAUGUGGUCCCACUAUGGGUCCUGGCUAUGGGUCCUGCUAUGGUCUGGCUAUGGGGCAGCCCCACAGAUCCCCCUCUAUAGGUCCCGCUAUGGGUCUGGCUAUGGGCAGCCCCACAGAUCCCACUAUAGGUCCCACUAUGGGCAGCCCUAUGGGUCUGGCUAUGGGGCAGCCCCACAGAUCCCACUAUAGGUCCCACUAUGGGGCAGCCCUAUGGGUCUGGCUAUGGGGCAGCCCUAUGGGUCCUGCUAUGGGUCCAUCUAUGGGUCAGCCCCACAUCUCCCCCCAUUACUCCCCUAUGGGCACAUGCAAUGUGGGUCCCCGUGGGUCAUCGAAUCGAUCCAUGGGGCGGAGGCGGAGCAGCAGCGCCCCCCCAUGGACAGACACCGCCAUCAACAGCAGCGACCAGCAGCAGCCCCAUAGAGGAACCCACAGAUAGAAAGGAAGAGCAAUCGAGGCACCCAAAAAGCCAAGCCGGAUACAUUUGAAAUGGCUGCACCUAAAGGAAGGGGAGAGGGUUCAUUAGUGCCCAUUAAUUAGUUAAUUAGCGCUAAUUAAGAGCCGUUAAUUAGGCAAUCAAUGGACCCCCCCUUCCCCUCUGAAAUGAAUGAGGAGCAAUCUGAGGCCCCCCAACAAUGAAGGCCUGGAUACAUUGAAUGGCUGCACCUAAAGGAAGGGGAAGAGGGUUCAUUAGUGCCCGGUAAUUAUUAAUUAGCGCUAAUUAAGACCCAUUAAUUAGCAAUGAUUGGACCCCCCCCCCCUCUUCCAUUGAAAUGAAUGAGGAGCAAUCUGAGGCCCCAAACAAUGAAGCCUGGACACAUUGAAUGGCUGCACCUAAAGGAAGGGGAAGAGGGUUCAUUAGUGCCCGUAAUUUAGUUAAUUAGCGCUAAUUAAAAACCCAUUAAUUAGGCAAUCAAUGGGACCCCCCCCCCUUCUCCCAUUGAGAUGAAUGAAGUCUGAUGCCCCCCCCAAAGCAAAGGCCGGACACAAUUGAAUGGCUGCACCUAAAGGAAGGGGAGAGGGUUCAUUAAUACCCAGUAAUUAGUUAAUUAGUCCUAAUUAAGACCAUUAAUUAGGCAAUAUCAAUGGACCCCCCCCCCCCUUCCCCCAUUGAAAUGAAUGCAAUCUGAUGACCCCAAUAAUGAGGCCUGGAUGAGGCCCCCAACAAUGAAGCCUGGACCACAUUGAAUGGCUGCACCUAAAGGAAGGGGAGAGGGUUCAUUAGUGCCCAGUAAUUUAGUUAAUUAGCGCUAAUUAAGACCCAUUAAUUAGGCAAUCAAUGGACCCCCCCCCUCUUCCCAUUGAGAUGAAUGCAAUCUGAGGACCCCCAUAAUGGAGCCUGGAUGAGGCCCCCCAACAAUGAAGCCUGGGAUACAUUGAAUGGCUGCACCUAAAGGAAGGGGAGAGAUUCAUUAGUGCCGGUAAUUAGUUAAUUAGUCCUAAUUAAGACCCAUUAAUUAGCGAAUGAAUGGACCGCCCCCCCCCCUUCCCCCAUUGAGAUGAAUGAAGACUGAGGACCCCCCAUUGAAAUGAAUGAAGUCUGAUGCCCCCCCAAAAGCGAAGGCCGGACACAUUGAAUGGCUGCACCUAAAGGAAGGGGAGAGGGUUCAUUAGUGCCCGUAAUUAUUUAAUUAGCGCUAAUUAAGAGCCAUUAAUUAGGCAAUCAAUGGACCCCCCCCCCCUGCUCCCCCAUUGAGAUGAAUGAAGUCUGAGGACCCCCAUUGAAAUGACAUGAAGUCUGAUGCCCCCCCCAAAGCGAAGGUCGGACACAUUGAAUGGCUGCACCUAAAGGAAGGGGAAGGAUUAAUUAUACCCCAGUAAUUAGUUAAUUAGUCCUAAUUAAGACCCAUUAAUUAGGCAUUGAAUGGACCCCCCCCCCCUCUUCCCAUUGAAAUGAAUGAAGGAGCAAUCUGAGGCCCCCCCAACAAUUGAAGCCUGGACACAUUGAAUGGCUGCACCUUAAAGGAAGGGGAAAGGAUUCAUUAGUGCCGUAAUUAGUUAAUUAGCGCUAAUUAAGACCCAUUAAUUAAGGCAAUCAAUUGACCCCCCCCCCCCGUCCUCCCAUUGAAAUGAAGAAGUCUGAUGCCCCCCCAAAGCGAAGGCCGACACAUUGAAUGGCUGCACCUAAAGGAAGGGAGAGGGUUCAUUAGUGCCCAUUAAUUAGUUAAUUAGCGCUAAUUAAGACCCAUUAAUUAGGCAAUCAAUGCCCCCCCCCCCCCUCUCCAUUGAAAUAAAUGCAAUCUGAGACCCA